rnacentral:rRNA from 1 species
UACGUAGGGUCCAAGCGUUAUCCGGAAUCACUGGGCGUAAAGCGUGCGUAGGUGGAUUGUUAAGUGCGAUGCGAAAUCCUGUGGCUCAACCAUAUGGACUGUAUCGCAUACUGGCUAUCUAGAGGACAUGAGAGGCAAGUGGAAUUACUGGUGUAGCAGUGAAAUGCGUAGAGAUCAGUAGGAACACCAAUGGCGAGGGCAGCUUGCUGGCAUGUAUCUGACGCUAAGGCACGAAAGCGUGGGGAGCGAACAGG